AUCUAGCUGAUGAGUUCUAAAUAGGACGAAACGUGCGUCUUGGAU
rnacentral:hammerhead_ribozyme from 1 species